rnacentral:rRNA from 1 species
CAGUAGCCGCGGUAAUACAGAGGGUGCGAGCGUUAAUCGGAUUUACUGGGCGUAAAGCGUGCGUAGGCGGCUUCUUAAGUCGGAUGUGAAAUCCCUGAGCUUAACUUAGGAAUUGCAUUCGAUACUGGGAAGCUAGAGUAUGGGAGAGGAUGGUAGAAUUCCAGGUGUAGCGGUGAAAUGCGUAGAGAUCUGGAGGAAUACCGAUGGCGAAGGCAGCCAUCUGGCCUAAUACUGACGCUGAGGUACGAAAGCGUGGGGAGCAAACAGGAUUAGAUACCCCUGUAGUCCCUGUCUCUUAUAA